rnacentral:rRNA from 1 species
CCUACGGGGGGCAGCAGUGGGGGAUAUUGCACAAUGGGGGAAACCCUGAUGCAGCGACGCCGCGUGGGAGAAGCAGUAUUUCGGUAUGUAAAGCCCUAUCAGCAGGGAAGAAGAAAUGACGGUACCUGAGUAAGAAGCACCGGCUAACUACGGGCCAGCCGCCGCGGUAAUACGUAUGGUGCAAGUGUUAUCCGGAUUUACUGGGUGUAAAGGGAGCGCAGGCGGCACGGCAAGCCUGAUGUGAAAGCCCGGGGCCCAACCGCGGGACUGCAUUGGGAACUACCGGGCUGGAGUGCCGGAGAGGUAGGCGGAAUUCCUAGUGUAGCGGUGAAAUGCGUAGAUAUUAGGAGGAACACCAGUGGCGAAGGCGGCCUACUGGACGGUGACUGACGCUGAGGCUCGAAAGCGUGGGGAGCAAACAGGAUUAGAUACCCCAGUAGUC